rnacentral:lncRNA from 1 species
CUUAAAAAUGUGAAAAAUUUAAAUGAAUAUAAAUUCUGAAUACACCCUAUAAUGUCCUCAAUGAGCUUAAGUUUUAAAGCCCUGAAUGGUUUCUGUAGGUCAAAGGUCAUGUGAGGAGAUAGGGGCUGAAGUUUUUUCAAGCGCUCUAGUAAAGGGUUUUAAGUGUCAUCCCCAGUGCUAUGGGUGCUGAGCCUGGCUUCAUGUGUCUCAUAUGGCCAUUAGAAGCAGCUUUCCAGUCAGCUGUGUGUCUCCAGGUGCACUAAUUGGUUGCCAUGCGGACCUUGGAUGCAUAACUAUAGCAGGAGAAAGAAGGCUUGAAGCUAAGGAAACAGGACUCCAAGUAGGCCCUGACGCUCAUCCUCUGUAUCUAUUCCUGAUAAGGAGCUUGUGAGAACACAAGACUCUGCUAAACACAUUAAUACAAUUUAUUAUCACAAUCCUCAAAACACCCCAUAAUAUUUUCAAUGAGCUGAAUUUUAGAAGCCCAGAAUGGUUUCUGUAGCUCAAAGUUUGUGGGUGGAGAUAGGUGGCGAAGCAGACACAUAUUAACUGUGUGUACAAGCAGCUGAACUGCAAGGUAGACCUCAUAAAGCAACAAGUACAAGAAUGUGUGUGUGUGUGUGUGUGUGUGUGUCUCGUUAAUGACUGCAUCCUAAACAGCUGUGAGAUCAAAGGCAAAUCACUGACCUACUGUUUGAAUGAGAAGCAGCUGAACUGCAGAGGAUUUAGAGGCUCUAAACUUCUUCACAUAGCGUGAUUUCCUUAAGUCCCAGAAUGAAAAUAAGAACAUCGUACGAAUCCUCCGUCCUUCAUGAACACAAUGAUGUCUUUUUCAUGUCUGUACUGCGAAAAAUGUGGCCACAACAGCGAGUUAAAAAAGUCUGAGCCUGAGUGGGGAUAAGGAUUUUCUUGGAGAAGAAAUACAUUAGGUCUAAUGGGGAGAGAUUUCCGCCUAUUUGGACAGUUGGUCACCUGCUGGCCAAGAGGCAAGAUUUAAUGAUUUGAAACCUCUUUUGUGAGAAGCAGGACACAUAUACCUCCAUUUUGAUGUAUUUUUUAUGGGUGUGGAUUGAGAUUUGUGAGCGUGGGAGCGAUAUAUUCGAGCGAGGUUCUGUCGAUCAGAGACGAGGUCUGCACUCUAGCUUUUCAAAUCAUCACUCUAGCCUCUCCAAUACACCCCUAUUAUAAAGCCUGAAAUUUGCUGAAAACCACAAGUUGCUUGAAGCUAAAUUGUGGAAAAACUGUAAAAGAUAGCACAAAAAGGUUAAUACAAUAUCAAUAGUCGACAAGACAAUGAACAUUUUAAAGCAAAAAUGAGGUCUCUAGGUGAAAGUAUGCUGAAGUUAUAAGGCUUAGAAGGUGGACGAAUAACAGGAAGAAUUGAAAGAUUUCCCCAUUCAUUUCUAUGGGAAAAAAAGUUUGGCACAAAAAGUGAAAAAUAAUAAAAAGUAUAAAGGGUAGAAAAAAGAAAAGUAAUAGCCAUCAUGUCCUGAAGAAGUGGAAUCGUUUAAAGUUUGAACGGUUGAAAUCGGACAAAGUUUGAAGGAGGAGAAGCGGUCCAAAGAAACGUAUGGGGAGAGUGUUAAGUAUAAUACUAGAAAAAUUGCAUUUCCUUGCAGAAAAUGCGUGGAAAUGCUGAGUGCUGAAAGCUGAAAAAGCAAUGCUGAACUGCUAAUAAAACAUGGAGAAAGGUAUAAAUGUUAAAGCUGUUGAAGGGGUGAAAAUGAAAUAUAAGUUGGAUAACUGUUUAAUUGGUUGAAGUACAAAUAUUAUGAAUAUGCUCUAUAAAAGGAAAUUUGACAUUAACAGUAGUUGUCGUACUUGAGGUAGGAUUUUGUUUGAAGGACGGAAUAAUGCAUAAAUAUUAAAACUAAUAUAAACAGGGAAAAUUUUAUUAAUUUAAAAUCCUCAAGUAUCAGAAAGUUUUUAAGUAUUAGAAAGGUUUGAAUCAUUUUGAAUGAGUUUAAAUUAGUUUGAAAAAUGAAAUGAUAAAUCAUCACUGAGUGACUUUAAAAUGUGAAAAAUUUAAAUGAAUUUAAAUCCUAAAUACACCCCAUAUUGUCCUCAAUGAGCUUAAAUUUUAAAGCCCUGAAUGGUUUCUGUAGGUCAAAGGUCAUGUGAGGAGAUAGGGGCUGAAGUUUUUUCCAACGCUCUAGGAAAGGGUUUUAAGUGUCAUCCCAAGUGCUAUGUGUACUGAGCCUGGCUUCAUGUGUCUCAUAUGGCCAUUAGAAGCAGCUUUCCAGUCAGCUGUGUGUCUCCAGGUGCAAAAAUUGGUUGCCAUGGGGACCUUGGAUGCAUAACUAUAGCACGAGAAAGAAGGCUUGAAUGCUAAGGAAACAGGACUCCAAGUAGGCCCUGACGCUCAUCCUCUAUAUAUAUUUAUGAUAAGGAGCUUGUGAGAACCACAAAAACUGCUUAACACAUUAAUACAAUUUAUAAUCACAAUCCUCAAAACACCCCAUAAUAUCUUCAAUGAGCUGAAUUUUUGAAGCCCAGAAUGGUUUCUGUGGCUCAAAGUUUGUGGGUGGAGAUAGGUGGCGAAGCAGACACAUAUUAACUGUGUGUACAAUCAGCUGAACUGCAAGGUAGACCUGACAAAGCAACAAGUACAAGAAUGUGUGUGUGUGUGUGUGUGUGUGUGUGUGUGUCUCGUUAAUGACUGCAUCCUGAACAGCUGUGAGAUCAAAGGCAAAUCACUGACCUACUGUUUGAAUGAGAAGCAGCUGAACUGCAGAGGAUUAAGAGGCUCUGAACUUCUUCACAUAGCGUGAUUUCCUUAAAUCCCAGAAUGAAAAUAAGAACAUCGUACGAAUCCUCCGCCCUUCAUGAACACAAUGAUGUGUUUUUCAUGUCUGUACUCCGAAAAAUGUGGCCACAACAGCGAGUUAAAAAAGUCUGAGCCUGAGUGGCGAUAAGGAUUUUCUUGGAGAAAAAAUACAUUAGGGCCAAUGGGGAGAGAUUUGCGCCUAUUUGGACAGUUGGUCACCUGCUGGCCAAGGGGUACGAUUUAAUGAUUUGAAACCUCUUUUGUGAGAAGCAGGACACAUAUACCUCCAUUUUGAUGUAUUUUUUAUGGCUGAGGAGUGAAAUUUGUGGGCGUUGGAGCGAUAUAUUCGAGCGAGGUUCUGUCGAUCAGAGACGAGGUCUGCACUCUAGCUUUUCAAAUCAUCACUCUAGCCUCUCCAAUACACCCCAUUAUAAAGCCUGAAAUUUGCUGAAAACCACGAGGUGCUUAAAGCUAAAUUGUGGAAAAACUGUAAAAGUUAGAACAAAGAGGUUAAUACAACAUCAAUAGUCGACAAGACAAUGAACAUUUUAAAGCAAAAAUGAGGUCUCUAGGUGAAAGUAUGCUUAAGUUAUAAGGCUUAGAAGGUGGACGAAUAACAGGAGGAAUUGGAAGAUUUCCCCAUUCAUUUCUAUGGGAAAAAAAGUUUGGCACAAAAAGUUAAAAAUAAUAAAAAGUACAAAGGAUAGAAAGGAAAAAAAUACAAGCACACAUGUCCUGAUGGAGUGGAAUAGUUUAAAGUUUGAACGGUUGAAAUCGGACAAAGUUUGAAGGAGGAGAAGCGGUCCAAAGAAACGUAUGGGGAGAGUGUUAAGUAUAAUACUAGAAAAAUUGCAUUUCCUUUCAGAAAAUGCGUGGAAAUGCUGAGUGCUGAAAGCUGAAAAAGCAAUGCUAAACUGCUAAUAAAACAUGGAGAAAGGUAUAAAUGUUAAAGGUGUUGAAGGGGUGAAAAAGAAAUAUAAGUUGGAUAAUGGUCUAAUUGGUUGAAGGACAAAUAGUAUGAAUAUGCUCUAUAAAUGGAAGUUUUAUUCAUGCUGAAAGAGGCUAGAAAAAUGUCUACAAUUGCACAAAGUUUGAAUGAAGAAGGAAACUGCCUUAAAAGGCAGGAAGGUGAGAAGUGGCAUAAGUUUAAGUUGUAGUACUAGAAGUAGUAUAAUAGGUCAAGUCGUGAUACUAGUAGUCAUGUCAGCAGUAGAAGUAGUUUGAGAAUAAAAGAAGUAUAAGUCACAAUAGUAGAGAAAGUAGAAAUAGGAGCAAUAGUAGUUGAAGUAGAGGGGAUAGUACUAGUUUAAUUGACAUUAGCGGUAGUUGUCGUACUUGAGGUAGGAUUUUGUUUGAAGGAUGGAGUAAUGCAUAAAUAUUAAAACUUAUUUCAAACAGGGAAAAUUGAAAUAAUUAAAAAUCCUCAAGAAUCAGAAAGUUUUUAAGUAUUAGAAAGGUUUGAAUCAGUUUGAAUGAGUUUCAACUAGUUUGAAAAAUAAAUGAUAAAUCAUCACUGAGUGACUUUAAAAUGUGAAAAAUUUAAAUGAAUAUAAAUCCUAAAUACACCCCAUAAUGUCCUCAAUGAGCUUAAAUUUUAAAGCCCUGAAUGGUUUCUGUAGGUCAAAGGUCAUGUGAGGAGAUAGGGGCUGAAGUUUUUUCAAGCACUCUAGGAAAGGGUUUUAAGUGUCAUCCCCAGUGCUAUGCGUACUAAGCCUGGCUUCAUGUGUCUCAUAUGGCCAUUAGAAGCAGCUUUCCAGUCAGCUGUGUGUCUCCAGGUGCACUAAUUGGUUGCCAUGGGGACCUUGGAUGCAUAACUAUAGCCGGAGAAAGAAGGCUUGAAGCUAAAGAAACAGGACUCCAAGUAGGCCCUGACGCUCACCCUCUGUAUAUAUUCAUAAGGAGCUUGUGAGAACACAAGACUCUGCUGAACACAUUAAUACAAUUUAUUAUCACAAUCCUCAAAACACCCCAUAAUGUCUUCAAUGAGCUGAAUUUUUGAAGCCCAGAAUGGUUUCUGUAGCUCAAAGUUUGUGGGUGGAGAUAGGUGGUGAAGCAGACACAUAUUAACUGUGUGUACAAGCAGCUGAACUGCAAGGUGGACCUCAAAAAGCAACAAGUACAAGAAUGUGUGUGCGUGUGUGUGUGUGUGUCUCGUUAAUGACUGCAUCCUAAACAGCUGUGAGAUCAAAGGCAAAUCACUAACCUACUGUUUGACUGAGAGGUGCUGAACUGCAGUGAAUUUCAGCCUCUGAACUUCUUCACAUAGCGUGAUUUCCUUAAGUCCCAGAAUGAAAAUAAGAACAUCGUACGAAUCCUCCGUCCUUCAUGAACACAAUGAUGUGUUUUUCAUGUCUGUACUCCGAAAAAUGUGGCCACAACAGCGAGUUAAAAAAGUCUGAGCCUGAGUGACGAUAAGGAUUUUCUUGGAGAAGAAAUACAUUAGGGCCAAUGGGGAGAUAUUUGCGCCUAUCUGGACAGUUGGUCACCUGCUGGCCAAGGGGUACGAUUUAAUGAUUUGAAACCUCUUUUGUGAGAAGCAGGACACAUAUACCUCCAUUUUGAUGUAUUAUUUGUGUCAGUGGAGUGAGAUUUGUGGGCGUGGGAGCGAUAUAUUCGAGCGAGGUUCUGUCGAUCAGAGACGAGGUCUGCACUCUAGCUGAUGACAUCAUCACUCUAAACUCUCCAAUACACACCCAUUAUAAAGCUUGAAAUUUGCUGAAAACCACAAGUUGCUUAAAGCUAAAUUGUGGAAGAACUGUAGAAGAUAUCAAAAAACCGAGUACAACUUUGAUAGUCAACAAGUGAGUGAACAUUUUAAAGCAAAAAUGAGGUCUCUAGGUGAAAGUAUGCUGAAGUUAUAAGGUCUAGAAGGUGGAAGAAUGAAAGGAAGAAGUUGAAGAUUUCCCCAUUGACUUCAAUGUUAAAAUUUUUGCACAAAAAGUUAAAAAAAUCAAAAAGUAUAAAAGGUAGAAGAGUGAAAAGUAAUAGCCAUCAUGUCCUGAAGGAGUGGAAUAGUUUAAAGUUUGAACGGUUGAAAUCGGACAAAGUUUGAAGGAGGAGAAGCGUUGCAAAAAAGGGACGGAAGAAUAAUAAUAAUAAUAAUAAGUUUAAUAAAGAAACGGGAGAAUAACAAUAAGUGGAAAUGCCUAUCAGCAUUUCCACUUAACUAGAAAAAUUGCAUUUCCUUGCAGAAAAUGCGUGGAAAUGCUGAGUGCUGAAAGCUGAAAAAGCAAUGCAAAACUGCCAAUAAAAAAUGGAGGAAGGUAUAAACGGAAAAACUGUAGAAAAGGUGGAGUAGAAGAAGAAGAAAUUGUAUCAAUGGAAGAAUUGUAGUAUAGCUGGAGGUAAAUUAGUUGGAUUAAUGUACAAAUUGUCUGAUAGCCUAAGUGAAAAAUGUAUAUGAUUGAUGUGAAUAAACAGAACUGAUAUGGAUAAUUGAAUUUGAAAAACAAAUGCCUUUAAACAAUGUGUAACAAUGUUCCUAUUAAAUGUACAAAUAGUAAAACAGAUUUUUGCAGUCUGCAGCAUCCAACCAUAGUAACUUGAGAAUGCAGAACAGCACCAUUUAUUGCCCUGCUUCAGUUACUGCCCUACAUCUGAAUGCAGAAAGUAUGAAACAGCUGAAGUUAAAUUAAUUGUAUAAAUGUAGAAAGUAUAGAAAAGAAAAGCAGAAGUAGAAGAAAAAGAAGAAGUUAGUAUGUUAAAAGAGUUAAAGACAAGAACUGUAACAACAAAGUUCAUAUUGGGGCUGUAUUUUCUACUGACAGAGUGACAGUAAUGCACACAUGGAAACAGUGUGUGUGUGUGUGUGUGUGUGUGUGUGUGUGUGUGUGUGUGUGUGUGGCCGCGCGCGCGCGCGGCCGAGCCCGUGCGUGUGCAUAUGCGUGUGUGAUCGAAGCACACAGCCCAUGACAAGUGCAGAAUCUGACAGAGAGACAGUAAGAGAGAAAGAGAGACAUUAAUGCACUCAUGGAAACAGUGUGUGUGUAUGUGUGUGUGCCCGCGCGCGCACGAGCGGCCAAGUCCGUGCGUGUGCGAUCGAAGCACACAGCCCAUGACAAGUGCAGAAUCUGACAGAGAGAUAGUAAGAGAGACAGUAAUACACUCAUGGAAACAGUGUGUGUGUGUGUGUGUGUGUGCGUGUGUGUGUGCCCGCGCGCGCACGAGCGGCCGAGUCCGUGCGUGUGCAUGUGCGUGUGCGAUCGAAGCACACAGCCCAUGACAAGUGCAGAAUCUCUGGCUCUGAAGGAAUGUACUCACCUCCUGGGCAAGCUGUACAAUUUCAUGACUUCAGACCGAUUUUGUGAGAAGCAGGACGAGUGUACCUCCAUUUUGAUGUGUUUUUUAUGGCUGUGGAGUGAAAAUUGCGGCCGCAGCAGCAAAAUAAUCAUGCUUGGUCUAGUGAAUCCAAAAGGCCCCGCCCGCAUCUAGUGAUGACGUAACAUCUGACGUCACACGCUGUAGCGUGAGUCAGGCUGAAAAAGGCAGAGAACUUCAUGUUGCUCCAAGCGAAAUUGUGCAAAAACGGUAGGAAAUAGCAAAAAGGAGUGAAUACAACAUUUGUAGCAGACACGUUGCUGAACAUUUUAAAGCAAAAAUGAGGUCUGUAGGUGAAAGUAUGCAGAAGUUAUAAGGGUGAGAAGGUGUUAUAGCUGUAUCUCCAUUCAUUUGUAAUGGAACAAAUUUUGCAGAAAAAGUGAAAUAUUGCAAAAAGUAUAAAUGGUAGAAAGGUGAAAAGUAAUAGCCGUAAUGUCCUGAAGGAGUGCAUUAGUAUAAAGUUUGAAUGGUGAAAAUAGCACAAAGUGGUGAGGAGUUGAAAAGGGCCAAAAAAGGUACGGAAGAAUAAUAAUAAUAAUAAUAAUAAAGAAAUAGUAGAAUAACAAUAAGUGGAAAUGCUGUGUCAGCAUUUCCACUUAACUAGAAAAAUUGCAUUUCCUUGCAGAAAAUGCGUGGAAAUGCUGAGUGCUGAAAGCUGAAAAAGCAAUGCUAAACUGCUAAUAAAACAUGGAGAAAGGUAUAAAUGUUAAAGCUGUUGAAGGGGUGAAAAAGAAAUAUAAGUUGGAUAAUAGUUUAAUUGGUUGAAGGACAAAUAGCAUGAAUAUGCUCUAUAAAAGGAAAUUUUAUUCAUGCUGAAAGAGGCUAGAAAAAUGUCUAAAAUUGCACAAAGUUUGAAUGAAGAAGGAAAUUGCCUUUAAAGGCAGGAAGGUGAGAAGUGGCAUAAGUUUAAGUUGUAGUACUAGAAGAAGUAUGAUAAGAAGUCAAGUCGUGAUACUAGUAGUCAUGUCAGCAGUAGAAGUAGAUUGAGAAUAAAAGAAGUAUAAGUCAAAGUAGUAAAGAAAGUAGAAAUAGUAGCAAUAGCAGCAGUAGAGAAAGUAGAAAUAGGAGCAAUAGCAGUUGAAGUAGAGGGGAAAGUUCUAGUUUAAUUGACAUAAGUAGUUGUAGUACUAGAGGUAGGAUUUUGUUUGAAGGACGGAUUAAUGCAUAAAUAUUAAAACUAAUAUAAAACAGGGAAAAUUUUAUUAAUUAAAAAUCCUCAAGUAUCAGACAGUUUUUAAGUAUUAGAAAGGCUUGAAUCAUUUUGAAUGAGUUUAAAUUAGUUUGAAAAAUUAAAUGAUAAAUCAUCACUGAGUGACUUUAAAAUGUGAAACAUUUAAAUGAAUAUAAAUCCUAAAUACACCCCAUAAUGUCCUCAAUGAGCUUAAAUUUGAAAGCCCUGAAUGGUUUCUGUAGGUCAAAGGUCAUGUGAGGAGAUAGGGGCUGAAGUUUUUUCAAGCGCUCUAGUAAAAGGUUUUAAGUGUCAUCCCCAGUGCUAUGUGUGCUGAGCCUGGCUUCAUGUGUCUCAUAUGGCCAUUAGAAGCAGCUUUCCAGUCAGCUGUGUGUCUCCAGGUGCACUAAUUGGUUGCCAUGGGGACCUUGGAUGCAUAACUAUAGCAGGAGAAAGAAGGCUUGAAGCUAAGGAAACAGGACUCCAAGUAGGCCCUGAC